CGCCGCGGCUGCCGUCCCUUUCCCGGCCGGCGGCCGCCGCUGCCGGUGCCGCCUCCGUCGCCGCCGCCGCCGCCGCCUUGGGGCCACGAGCCGAGCGGAGGCCGCCGCGGAGCGCGAGCGCCGCCAGUCCCGCCGCUCCGCCGGCCGCUCCAGGGCCCGGCCGGCGCGGCCGGCGCCCCCCGUGCCCCUCGCCCGUCCGCCCCCGCGGGCCCGGCCUGGCGUGGCCGCCCGCCGUCUCGCUCCUCCUCCUCCUCCGGCGCCCCGCGGCCCGCCACCUCCUCCGCCCGCCGCCCGGCGCCCCUCGCCGCGCCGCCGCCCUCGGCGCCCCGCGGCGCCCCCCGGUCCCGCCCGCCAUGCCCGGUCCGGCCGCGGGCAGCAGGGCCCGGGUCUACGCCGAGGUGAACAGCCUGAGGAGCCGCGAGUACUGGGACUAUGAGGCUCACGUCCCGAGCUGGGGUAAUCAAGAUGAUUACCAACUGGUUCGAAAACUUGGUCGGGGAAAGUAUAGCGAAGUAUUCGAGGCCAUUAACAUUACCAACAAUGAGAGAGUGGUGGUAAAAAUUCUCAAGCCAGUGAAGAAAAAGAAGAUAAAACGAGAGGUUAAGAUUCUGGAGAACCUUCGUGGUGGAACGAAUAUCAUUAAGCUGAUUGACACUGUGAAGGACCCUGUGUCAAAGACACCAGCUUUGGUAUUCGAAUAUAUCAAUAAUACAGACUUUAAGCAACUUUACCAGAUCCUGACAGACUUUGAUAUCCGGUUUUAUAUGUAUGAACUACUUAAAGCUCUGGAUUACUGCCACAGCAAGGGAAUCAUGCACAGGGACGUGAAACCUCACAAUGUCAUGAUAGACCACCAACAGAAAAAGCUGCGGCUCAUAGACUGGGGCCUCGCCGAGUUCUACCACCCUGCGCAGGAGUACAAUGUCCGCGUGGCCUCCAGGUACUUCAAGGGACCCGAGCUCCUGGUGGACUACCAGAUGUAUGAUUAUAGCUUGGACAUGUGGAGUUUGGGCUGUAUGUUAGCGAGCAUGAUCUUUCGAAAGGAGCCCUUCUUCCAUGGACAGGACAACUACGACCAGCUUGUUCGCAUCGCGAAGGUUCUGGGCACGGACGAACUGUACGGGUACCUGAAGAAGUAUCACAUAGACCUCGACCCGCACUUCAACGACAUCCUGGGACAACAUUCACGGAAACGCUGGGAAAACUUCAUCCACAGUGAGAACAGACACCUGGUCAGCCCCGAGGCCCUAGACCUUCUGGACAAACUUCUGCGAUACGACCAUCAACAGAGACUGACGGCCAAAGAGGCCAUGGAGCACCCAUACUUCUACCCCGUGGUGAAGGAGCAGUCCCAGCCCUGUGCGGAUAAUGCUGUACUUUCCAGUGGUCUCGCGGCAACCCGAUGAAGACUGGAAAGCGACGGGAGAGCAGCAUUGGCUGGUUGGUGACCCCUUACAAAUGACUACUUCAGGGUCAAGUGGCCGCCUCCAUACCCCUGGAUGGCUGAGCUGUGACUUCUGCGCUGCUCCCUUAGAGGGAAAAGAGACCCUACGCUAACUCCUGUUUGCACAAAUAAAAAUGCUCCUCGUCACCAGCUUUCCAGGGAGGGCAACACGCUACGGCCACGAGGACCUUACACUUGCGUUGCCCGGCUCUCGGGGGAGAGGAGGGAUGAACCCUGUGCUACUAAGGUGUGUGUGGUGGACCUGGUGCGCCACCCUGGCGUGAAGACGUAGCAGGACAGGUGGGACUGGCUUGUCUCGGUAUUUGCUUCUGAAUCGCACCCCUGCAGACGCCUGCUCGGGACGGACCUGUUCUGCACCACGGCGUGACCGUCUGUGGCAGUGUUUCUGCGGUUAGGGAAGUUGUCCCCACCCUGUUCUCUGCUUCUCAGCUGCCGGAGUGGCACCUGCUGUUGGGCAGAUGGAAGGUGUCUUCCUUCCCCCUGACUGACCCCUCUGUGGAGUUGGAUGCUUAGAAGUCAGUUUCCGACGUGUUUAAAGGCAAACAGGCAUUUCUGCCUUUGCACCAUGUGGCCUUUCGCCCAUCCUUGCCCCAAGCGAGUUCUCACGGAGCCAUGUUUCCAUGUGGCGGCCUCCCAGGUGCAUGCACGGCCCACCCUUCCCCUCGGUGCGGUGCUGCCGUCCCGAGACAGCGCUGCCAGAACUCCGCUGUCAGCGUCUCGGCGCCCCCUCCACUGUGCCGGGCAGGGAAGGAGGAACGCUUUUCAGGCCGUGCCAGACAGCCGCUCCCAGGGGAGAGUGAAAAAACACGGGUGGGCAAAGGCAGGCUUCCCGCUGUGAGUGCACUGUGUCUUGCGACAGUCCUUUGAGUAACAGCUGCUCCAAGAAUCGCAACCUGCUUGUCUUUUUCCACGUGAACAACUGUAAACCCACUUUUGCCCGUUCCUGUGAAUGAGCUAGUUCCCUUUUUGCCUUGGCCCUUUUCCUGUGUACGAGACAGGCGUCUAAUUAGUCCCACGCUGUCCUUGGUACAUGGGAUCAGCUCUGAUGGUGCACUGCGGAACCUGGAGCUUGGUGUGCACGGAAGGCCAGUGUCCUGGACCCGAGAGGCGGGGAAGAGACUUGGUCGCCCGUGUGGUGCCCAGAACGUCCCCCUGCUCUUGCAGAAGGCCCGUGGAGACUUAGUGGUGACCAGAAGAGGAAGUGUGGAAAGGGUCUGUUGCGGUUCCUCUCACUUUUCCAUAAGCAGAGCAAGAACCAAAUCAAACGUCUGAACGUGUGUAGAGAGAGCACGUUCCGUGAGCAGACACAACACGGUGGCAGGCUUGGUGAGCACGGACUAGACCAGCUGCGGGGCAGCCCACCACCGUGUAUCAAACCUCACUUCUGAAUGUAAAAGGCUCACACACCUUUGGCUUCCUGUUGACUUCCUCCUGACCCAGACAGCAUGGGAAAUGUGAAGGGUAUGCAAGAUGGUUGUUGGCUACUGCUGUUCCCCCGCACCCCUUGGCGUCCUGUGGCCACCUGCUUCCCAGCAGACCGCAGGCUCCACAGGGGCCAUGGGGGCGUAUAUGGCAUGAUGGGCAGUGACAUAUUAUAAUUUUAAAAGUAUAUAUUAUUGAAUAAAAGGUUUUAAAAGAAAUG